GAUGAACGCUGGCGGCGUGCCUAAUACAUGCAAGUCGAGCGAACAGAUGAGGAGCUUGCUCCUCUGACGUUAGCGGCGGACGGGUGAGUAACACGUGGAUAACCUACCUAUAAGACUGGGAUAACUUCGGGAAACCGGAGCUAAUACCGGAUAAUAUAUUGAACCGCAUGGUUCAAUAGUGAAAGACGGUUUUGCUGUCACUUAUAGAUGGAUCCGCGCCGCAUUAGCUAGUUGGUAAGGUAACGGCUUACCAAGGCAACGAUGCGUAGCCGACCUGAGAGGGUGAGCGGCCACACUGGAACUGAGACACGGUACAGACUCCUACGGGAGGCAGCAGUAGGGAAUCGUCCGCAAUGGGCGAAAGCCUGACGGAGCAACGCCGCGUGAGUGAUGAAGGUCUUCGGAUCGUAAAACUCUGUUAUUAGGGAAGAACAAAUGUUUAAGUAACUAUGCACGUCUUGACGGCACCUAAUCAGAAAGCCACGGCUAACUACGUG
rnacentral:rRNA from 1 species